UAUUAUUCAAGGCUUGACUGAACUACAGGCUGAGUUCUGAGCCAUCUUGGGCAACUUAGACUCUUUUUCAAAACAAAAAGUAAAAGUACGUCUAGAAAUGUACUUAGUGGUAGACUACAUGCCUAGUCUCUGUGAGGCUCUGAGUCCAAACCUCCGCACUGUAGAGUUAAACCAAGCAAGUAAGGUUUUCUUUAGCCUCCUUCUGGCCUUUCUCUCCUUUUCCUUUGCUUCCCCUCUCGUCCUUUAUCCAUGCCCUUCUCACCCAGUAUCUGAAUCCUUGUUCUUACCCAAGCUCUCCUCACUGUGAGGGGAGAUCGGCUACUUAAUUCAGGAAGAAUGAUUUGUCUGACUGUUUUGAUUCUCCAUUAGGCCCGUAAGCCAGCCAGAAUACAGGGUGCUGUUAGCUCGUUCUUGCAUGUAUCCUUCCUUCCCUUAAGGAAACAGGAGAAACCACUUUAAACUGAGACUUCAGAAGGUGACCUGAGAGGUUGUUGAGACUGAAUCUUUGAAGUUGAGGCUCUUGGAUGAUCUCUGACUUUUUCCUAGAGGCAAGAGCUGCCUUCAGCUCUAUUUGGAUUUUCAGAUUCACUGAAGGGAAAUCUGAUGUCGGAGCAAUUAAGGAGGAAUGAAAUAGCAGACCGGUGCGUGCACUGUUGACUCUGGGCCUCCUUGGUGCUGGCCGGCAGAGGUCGGGGAGCGGCUGGCUGGCUGUUAGCCCCAGCCUGCAGCGUUUGCUUUGGCCAUUGGGGUAAAGAGCACUUUGUGGAAAGCCAGCCUUCCCGGCCAAGUGCCUAUUUUGGUCCUGAAUCUGUUGAGUCCAGCCUGAAGGUUGGCUCCAGGAUCAACAGAGGCCAUGGAAAAUGGGAUUGGAUGCCUGGCAGACAUCACUAUGGGCUUUGUCUUCCUGACCAGGUUAGUUAGCCCCGAGCCCAUGAAACACAGGCACAAUGGGGAGCUAUGGACCUUGCAACAUCAGUACCAGAAAGAACUAGCUUGUUUGCAUGGUCCCUCUUCCCCAGCUGUCUGGUCUCUUAAGGUGGAUGUGGAGCAAGAGCUGACAGAGAGUCUCGAAAGUGUCUGAGAUCUUCUAAGUGCUAGGUCAUCAAGCUAUAGGGCUAGUUGUCUUUCCCAGCUAAAAAAAACCAGGCCUCAUGAGAGUCAACAAGUUAAUGAUUUUGAGAACACUCCUGAUUUCUAUAUGUCUAUUCAACUCAGCUUUUGUGACAGGAAAGCAACCCAAUGUGUAUAUAAGCAAAGAAGCAUGCACUCCUUCCUUUGCUUUAAAGGGGGUUAUUUAAAAUGUCAAAACCAUUCUUGCCUUGUGUUCUGCACAAAAAUAGUCAGUAGGUUAGAUAUGGCCUGAGAGUUCUAGUUUGCUUUUAUUAACCACUGCUCUAGAGGACAGAACGGAGCUACCGGCCAAAAGAGGAAUCUUUGGCUCCAAUGGAAAAAAGGAUAACUAGAUUUUUAGGAAAAUGAGAUUUGUUUCCCAGAAAGCUACAACCACUACCCUAAAAAACGAUAGAAAAGAUAUUCAAGAGGCACCUGUUAGGGAUGUCAUAGGAAGACUCUAAGGCCUGGCCAGGGAUUGGUUUUUCGUCUUUAAAAUCUACAGGAUUGCCACUGUGACAAAGUGUUUCCUCUACGUAUCCAUCAUUUCUCACCCACACACUUCUGUGUUUAUAUUUGUUAGGUCUUUGUACACAGUCCAUUCCUCCUUGACUAGUAUGUGUUGAUAAUUGCCUCAUCUUGUUCCUCGUUUUUUUUCAUGCAUUUUCUUUUCUUUUCAGAAACUAAGGGGUUAAUGUCAAAAGGGCAAGGUUCGCUGGGCAGCUGCUGCACUGUUGCCUAGCAACCCUGAGGGACAGCUCAGAAUUUCUGCUGAAGCUUUUGUGGAAAGAUGGUCUGAUCCAACCAUCAGGGCAGAGUAAAGAGCAAAGGAGAUAAUGUAGUCGAACCCAUGAUAACUCAUGAAAAGGGAUUUGAUUGUGUCUCACAGAAUGUUGGAUCUUCCUUUAUGUCACUAGGGGAAAAUUAAAUUUGCUUGAAGAGAUUUCAGCUCGUUCCUGCUCCCCUCCUUUCCCCCAGUGGUUUGGUCCUGUUUCUCAGAACAGCAUCCUUUCCACUAAACCCCCAGAGUGGCCUGCUCCUGUCUCACGGAUUAUUAGGCCCUCUCUGCUUUUAUUUUUCCCUGUAGUCAUCUAGCUAAUAGCCUAGUGUGGUUUGAUUGUGUCUUACACUAAAGUAUCCCCACAUAAUUUCUGCUCACAGCAGUGGUUUGCUCCUAUCUGCUAAGCAUCAGCAUCUUUCCCCUCCUGUCUCACACGAGAAUGAUUAGAUACUGCGUCACUGAGCAUCAGGCUUUUAGCCCCUCCCCCGGGGUCCACAGUGGUUUGAUCCUACCUCAUGGACUAUUAGGUUCUUUCUGAUUCCCCCUCUAGCAUCACCAUUACUAAUGGUAUGGUCCUUAGCAUCAGGUCCUUUUUGUCCCCCACUGGUCUUCUGAGCAGACUUGACGCAGCUUCAUCUCAUUCCUGAUGGAUCCUGAGCCCCUCAGUGCUUUACUCCUGCGUGAGCGCUGUGAACUGGACCAAAUGGGUUGAAAAUGGCCAGAAGUUGCUCUUUAUCACUUUAAAUCUUUUAUGAUAAAGAAAAAAACUUCAAUUUCUGACCAGUUAAAAUCCAUCUGAGCCAGUAAACGCUCAUUGGGCAGAGCUGGAGUCUGAGGUCGGUAAAUCCAGGAAGAUGGCUGAAUGCUUUGCUGACUCAAGCCCAGACAAGGAGCCAGAUUUCUUGGAUUCCAGAUUCACUUCUUUCUUGGCUUCACCCUGGACCUGUGGUGACUGGAGGCUUUGUGAUAUGAUGAGGAAACUGAGGCUCCAAGAGCUUCUGUGACUUGUCCAAGGCCAUACAGCUAGUAAGUAACCUGGGGUGUGGUAUGCUUCAGAUCACUGGGUGCAUGUGCCUCAGGAUUUUCACUCUUACCUGAUCAUUUCUCCAGUUGAGUAACAUGCUGAUAUUGCCAGAGGCGCAUCAGGACUGUGCACAAGUACGUCAUAUUGGGCUGGGUGCCUGGAGUUGAUGAGAGUAUUGUGAAGAUAUAUGAUCAGCCUUUAGCCCAGCAGGUCCUGGAGGAUGAGGUUGGAACACAGCUAAGCUAUUACACAGCCAAAUGGCAUGAACACUUAUUCAUAAUGUCUGUACCUCCCCCAGAACAUUGUCCUCUAUAGACACUUGGAAGGGCACAUCUGUAAGAAGAUAUGGAGACCUCCCCAUUAAAGAUCAGAAAAGUGUGGUCAAGAGAGGGGCAGGGACCUCUCCAAGUUUUUCUCCUUAAUGAUUUUGCCCCUGAUUCUGCUCGAAAUUAAUUUUUAAAUAUGAUCAAGAAAAUGUAGGCUUCAAGCAUAUUUGUUUUUGAGGAAAGACCAAUUCCUCUGUGAACCUUGCUAAGAUAGGUCUGCAGGGUAGUAUUUUCAUUUCUUCCUGGUUAUUAUAUAAGCUAGCAUCAUAGAAAUAUAAAGAUACUAUACUUCAGAGUAAGUCAGAUUGGGACUAAUUCCCUUUCAGAAACACAGAUGGAAAUCCACUAAGAUUUUCCGGGGCCCUAGGUUCUUUACUUUUAAAAUUAGGACUACCGAUUUGAUUCUAUUCCUGUGGAGUUGGAGGUAACUGGGGAAAUCUAGAUGAAGGGAAUCAGGGAAGAGCUAAAGCUCAGAGAGUGUUCCCUUCUAGAUAGACAGAUGUGAGAAUUACUUGUCCUGGGGGCUGUACAGAAAGCCUCAUGAGGCCUACACAUGGCCUCACCUAAGCAGAAGAAUCUCUUCCACAAGAUGGCUGUUCAUCCACUUUUUUUUCAGUUCUCUGACUUGAUAGCUCUAGAUAUUAGCCUCUAGACUUAACAUGUUUGCUAAGUCUGCAUUUGCCUUGGAUUCUAGUUUCCUUAUUAGCUCAUUUGUCCCUUUGAGGAUUAUUUUGUUUUUGUCACUCUUGGUAUAACUUACUCUAAAGCUAAACGCAGUACUUCUGAAAUGGGAUGGAGUAAAAAGAAAGCCACCAUCUCCUUCAUUUCAGACACUGUCAUUUUAUUGGUGUAUCCUAAGGCUUCAAUAGUUCAUGUUUGUUUUGAACACUGUCUUACAUAAAUGUGUAUUAGAGCUAAAUUCUCUGUCUUUAGCAGCACACCAUACUAUCUUCCUGGGUCAUUAUGAUAUGCUGUAGCAGUGACACACAUGAACUUCACCUGGGAAUCUUUUUAAAGGCCAAUUCUGAGCCAAUCUGUAUGUCCUUUAUUGUAAAGAAGGUUAAAAUAAAAGCCCCCACCCCCAUAUGAGUCUUGGUUUUGCUAUGUAGUCCAGACUGGCCUCUAACUUGUAAUCAUCCUGCCUCAGCCUCCUGGGUUCUGGGAUUACAAGUGUGUGGCAUCAUACUUGGCCUUCAGUAUGGUUUUGCAUAUACUACUUUUUCUUCAGAACUGUGUAUCAAACCAAAGGCCCUGUGUUUUCUGUACAAGUGCUACUACUGAGCCACAGCUUCGCAGAGAAGGUCUCAUUAAGUUACCUAGUUGGCCCCGGAAUAAACGUAACUUGGCUUGUGUCAAUGUCUGUAGGGUAUUUAUCUCCUACAUUAUACCCAUAACCAGGAAGAAAUGACGUUAUACCCAUUGCCUAUUGAUAUUUAGCACGUUAGGCCUGAAAACAGAAUUUAAUAAUCUACUAAUUCAAGGACAGUUGCAAUAAAUUCAAAACAGUUCACAAAAACUUAUUUUGAAGGAAGGAACAUUUUCCAAAUAAAACAUCUAUGAGUUGUGGUCUUUCAUUUUUUUAGUAGCUGUCCUUAGCAUCUUUCACAUUCAGUAUUUUGCCAUAUCACAUAGAUAUGGCUGCUAGAAACCUCAUUUUGGGAAGGAGAAACUGUGAAUAAGCUUGCAAUUUUUUUCUUUUAUAAGAUUUAUUUUCAAGUUGUGUGUGUGUGUGUGUAUGUAUGUAUGUAUGUAUGUAUGUAUGUAUGUAUGUCUAUGCAUCUGCAUCGUGUAUAAGUUUAUAUAACUGAGUGCCAAAGAGGAUAUUGGAUCCCCUGGACCCUGAGUCCCAGGCAGUUGUGAGCUGCCUAAUGUGGGUGAUAGGAUCUGAACUCAGGUCCUUUUCAAGAGCCUUAAUCUCUGAGCCAUCUCUCCAUAUAGAUUCUGAAGAUUAGGGAAUUUUGACUCCAUGAGUUCUCUCUCUGGCAGGGCUUUGGGAUCCUCAGAGGUCCCUGGGCAAUCCAAGGUUUUCUAAAAUAAGUUAUGCUUCAUGAGACAUGGAUGUACUUUCACAUGGGCCAUUUUUUCAUUGAAGUAAACCCUGUUUUUACACAAAAGAGCAAAUACUGUAAGACUCCACACGAUGGGUUUCCUAGAAUAUAGACAUUCGGGAGACAGAGUAGAAUAGUGGUUAACACUGGCGAGGAAGGAGGGAGGAUUAGAAUUCUGUGUAGUGGGUAAAACGUUUCAGUUUGGGAAGCUGAGGGAGCUCAGGGGAUGAAUAGUUCCAGGCAGUGGGAGUGUGGUAAAUGCCACUGAACUGUAUAAUUUAAAAAUGUUGAGUGGUAAACCUCAUGUUCUAUAUAGUUUACUAUGAUUUAAAACAUGAGGAUUCCAGAUACCCAGUCAUCCCUGUUCUGAUUCACCAGGUUCACAGUGAGGCACAGAAUCAGUUUAGAAGCACUUCGGGGAAUUUGGAUACUGUUUGGUGGCCUGGCAAGAUCAGCACCCUUACUAUUUUAGUCCCUGCCAGUCAUCAGCCUCUGGUUUUCCUGUUAUCCUCUGCUCCCUGUUAUGUAGCUACUAAGUGGCCUAAGAGCCAGCACCUUCACAAAGUAGCAAAGAGUUGGUGCAUCUUUAAGUAGUUGUUGGUCAUAACGGCACCUCAUUUGACGACACAGUUUUCCUUACUCUGGUAAGACUCUCAGUUUCUUUUCUUCUGGACCCUCAUCAUUUCCAGCUCAGUACUGGAGGCAGGGAUUAUGACUCAGUGACAGAGCUGUUGUCUAGCAUGGGCAAGGCUCUGUGCUCCGUGACCAGUACUGAAAAAAAUCCAAAGCUGGACAUUUGAUCUAUUAUUAUCAAAAAACCAACAAGGAACUCAAAUUGUUUUGAAACUAUUGCUAUGUGGCAUAACUGCUCUACCUAACUGCAGUACCAGUUAGAGGAGGAGUUUACUUUUUCCUUUGUUACCUUUUUUGACUGUUGUUUUAUUGUUUGGAGUAUAUAUGGUUGCUUGUACAUGUGUGCUUAUGUAUGUGGGCACACAUGUGCAUGUGAGAGUGAGAAAGCUAGAAUUCAAUAUUGAACUUCUUCAAUCAUUUAUAUUUUCUGGUGUAUAGAGUUUAUCUUGUAUAUAGGGUAUGUGUGUAUGUAUGUGUGUGUGUUUGUGUGUGUGUUAUAUGAUGUAUAUGAUAUGUAUGUAUGAAUGCAUGUAUACAUGUUUGUGAAUGUGGCUGUGCAUGAACCUCACCACAUAUGUGGAGGUCAGAGUAUAACUUGUAUGCCAUAUCUACCUUCUGCUUUGAGAUAGAAUCUCUCAUUCCUUAUUGUGUAUGUCUACCGUGAACAUUGAAGGAUUCCCAUUUCUCCACCUCUUCCUUUUGAUAAAAGUGCUGUGAUUAUAGAUGAUCCCACAUGUAUAUAAUAUAUAAUGCGU
rnacentral:sRNA from 1 species